AUCUAUCGCUGCCAACCUAUCUAUCGCUGCCAAUUUAUCUACCACUGCCAAUCUAUCUAUCGCUGCCAAUCUAUUGCUGCUAAUCUAUCGCUGCUAAUCUAUCGCUGCUGCCAAUCUAUCUUUCGCUGCUAAUCUAUCGCCGCUGCCAAUCUAUCCCUCGCUGCUAAGCUAUCGCCGCUGCCAAUCUAUCCCUCGCUGCUAAGCUAUCCCUCGCUGCUAAGCUAUCCCUCACUGCUAAGCUAUCCCUCGCUGCUAAGCUAUCCCUCACUACUAAGCUAUCUAUCACUGCUAAUCUAUCGCUGCCAACCUAUCUAUCACUGCCAAUCUAUCUAUCGCUGCUAAUCUAUCGCUGCUAAUCUAUCGCUGCUAAUCUAUCGCUGCUAAUCUAUCGCUGCUAAUCUAUCGCUGCCAACCUAUCUAUCGCUGCCAAUUUAUCUACCACUGCCAAUCUAUCUAUUGCUGCUAAUCUAUCGCUGCUGUCAAUCUAUCUAUCGCUGCUAAUCUAUCUACCGCGGCGAAUCUAUCUAUCACUAUCAUUACUAGUUCAAAAUAGAACUAGAGCAUAAAUACACUAAACUUCUUUUGAUAGGUAAUGAUUUUUGGUAACGCUCAUAGCAUUAUAUCAUCUAUAUAGGGUAAAUCAUGGUCCCAUUUGGUCCCAUUUUAACAAAAUGGGACCAAAUGGGACCAGAAUCAGUAAUUUAUAAGAAGAACAUGACCUGGGAC
rnacentral:sRNA from 1 species